CUACGGGGGGCAGCAGUGGGGAAUAUUGCACAAUGGGCGCAAGCCUGAUGCAGCCAUGCCGCGUGUAUGAAGAAGGCCUUCGGGUUGUAAAGUACUUUCAGCGGGGAGGAAGGGAGUAAAGUUAAUACCUUUGCUCAUUGACGUUACCCGCAGAAGAAGCACCGACUAACUCCGUGCCAGCAGCCGCGGUAAUACGGAGGGUGCAAGCGUUAAUCGGAAUGACUGGGCGUAAAGCGCACGCAGGCGGUUUGUUAAGUCAGAUGUGAAAUCCCCGGGCUCAACCUGGGAACUGCAUCUGAUACUGGCAAGCUUGAGUCUCGUAGAGGGGGGUAGAAUUCCAGGUGUAGCGGUGAAAUGCGUAGAGAUCUGGAGGAAUACCGGUGGCGAAGGCGGCCCCCUGGACGAAGACUGACGCUCAGGUGCGAAAGCGUGGGGAGCAAACAGGAUUAGAUACCCCUGUAGUC
rnacentral:rRNA from 1 species